rnacentral:rRNA from 1 species
CCUACGGGAGGCAGCAGUAGGGAAUAUUGCUCAAUGGGGGAAACCCUGAAGCAGCAACGCCGCGUGGAGGAUGAAGGUUUUCGGAUUGUAAACUCCUUUUGUUAGAGAAGAUAAUGACGGUAUCUAACGAAUAAGCACCGGCUAACUCCGUGCCAGCAGCCGCGGGAAUACGGAGGGUGCAAGCGUUACUCGGAAUCACUGGGCGUAAAGAGCGCGUAGGCGGGAUAGCAAGUCAGAUGUGAAAUCCUAUGGCUUAACCAUAGAACUGCAUUUGAAACUGUUAUUCUAGAGUAUGGGAGAGGUAGGUGGAAUUCGUGGUGUAGGGGUAAAAUCCGUAGAGAUCAAGAGGAAUACUCAUUGCGAAGGCGACCUGCUAGAACAUAACUGACGCUGAUGCGCGAAAGCGUGGGGAGCAAACAGGAUUAGAUACCCCAGUAGUC